rnacentral:rRNA from 1 species
GGCCUUGACAUACUAAGAACUUUCCAGAGAUGGAUUGGUGCCUUCGGGAACUUAGAUACAGGUGCUGCAUGGCUGUCGUCAGCUCGUGUCGUGAGAUGUUGGGUUAAGUCCCGCAACGAGCGCAACCUUUUCCUAUUUGCCAGCGGGUCAUGCCGGGAACUUUAAGGAUACUGCCAGUGACAAACUGGAGGAAGGCGGGGACGACGUCAAGUCAUCAUGGCCCUUACGGCCAGGGCUACACACGUGCUACAAUGGUCGGUACAAAGGGUUGCUACCUCGCGAGAGGAUGCUAAUCUCAAAAAGCCGAUCGUAGUCCGGAUCGCAGUCUGCAACUCGACUGCGUGAAGUCGGAAUCGCUAGUAAUCGCGGAUCAGAAUGCCGCGGUGAAUACGUUCCCGGGCCUUGUACACACCGCCCGUCACACCAUGGGAGUUUGUUGCACCAGAAGUAGGUAGUCUAACCGCAAGGAGGACGCUUACCACGGUGUGGCCGAUGACUGGGGUGAAGUCGUAACAAGGUAAGCGUAGAUGA